rnacentral:rRNA from 1 species
CGACAUGGAGCAAAUCCCAAAAACAGCGCCCCAGUUCGGAUUGCAGGCUGCAACCCGCCUGCAUGAAGCCGGAAUCGCUAGUAAUCGCGGAUCAGAAUGCCGCGGUGAAUACGUUCCCGGGUCUUGUACACACCGCCCGUCACACCAUGGGAGCCGGGAAUGCCCGAAGUCAGUGGCCCAACCGAAAGGGGGGAGCUGCCGAAGGCAGGCCUGGUGACUGGGGUGAAGUCGUAACAAGGUACC